AACGAACGCUGGCGGCAUGCCUAACACAUGCAAGUCGAACGAGACCUUCGGGUCUAGUGGCGCACGGGUGCGUAACGCGUGGGAAUCUGCCCUUGGGUUCGGAAUAACAGCGAGAAAUUGCUGCUAAUACCGGAUGAUGACGUAAGUCCAAAGAUUUAAUCGCCCAAGGAUGAGCCCGCGUAGGAUUAGCUAGUUGGUGAGGUAAAGGCUCACCAAGGCGACGAUCCUUAGCUGGUCUGAGAGGAUGAUCAGCCACACUGGGACUGAGACACGGCCCAGACUCCUACGGGAGGCAGCAGUGGGGAAUAUUGGACAAAUGGGCGGAAAGCCUGAUCCAGCAAUGCCGCGUGAGUGAUGAAGGCCUUA
rnacentral:rRNA from 1 species